GAUGAACGCUGGCGGCGUGCUUAACACAUGCAAGUCGAACGGAAAGGCCAGUGCUUGCACUGGUACUCGAGUGGCGAACGGGUGAGUAACACGUGGGUGAUCUGCCCUGCACUUCGGGAUAAGCCUGGGAAACUGGGUCUAAUACCGGAUAGGACAAUGGUUUGGAUGCCGUUGUGGAAAGUUUUUUCGGUGUGGGAUGAGCUCGCGGCCUAUCAGCUUGUUGGUGGGGUAAUGGCCUACCAAGGCGUCGACGGGUAGCCGGCCUGAGAGGGUGUACGGCCACAUUGGGACGGAGAUACGGCCCAGACUCCUACGGGAGGCAGCAGUGGGGAAUAUUGCACAAUGGGCGCAAGCCUGAUGCAGCGACGCCGCGUGGGGGAUGGCGGCCUUCGGGUUGUAAACUCCUGUCGCUAGGGACGAAGCGUAUUUGUGACGGUACCUGGAGAAGAAGCACCGGCUAACUACGUG
rnacentral:rRNA from 1 species